CCUACGGGUGGCAGCAGUGAGGAAUAUUGGUCAAUGGACGAGAGUCUGAACCAGCCAAGUAGCGUGAAGGAUGACUGCCCUAUGGGUUGUAAACUUCUUUUAUAAGGGAAUAAAAUGAGGCACGUGUGCCUUUUUGUAUGUACUUUAUGAAUAAGGAUCGGCUAACUCCGUGCCAGCAGCCGCGGUAAUACGGAGGAUCCGAGCGUUAUCCGGAUUUAUUGGGUUUAAAGGGAGCGUAGGUGGAUUGUUAAGUCAGUUGUGAAAGUUUGCGGCUCAACCGUAAAAUUGCAGUUGAAACUGGCAGUCUGGAGUAGAGGAGAGGUGGGCGGAAUUCGUGGUGUAGCGGUGAAAUGCUUAGAUAUCGCGAAGAACUCCGAUUGCGAAGGCAGCUCACUGGACUGUAACUGACACUGAGGCUCGAAAGUGUGGGUAUCAAACAGGAUUAGAUACCCUAGUAGUC
rnacentral:rRNA from 1 species